GGGAAGCCGAGCCAUGUAGUAAAACAGACAGCCCCUUGACAGGCGGUGGGGACCUCACCACCCUCAGCAACAUCGUCUUCAUGGGGACCCUGGUGCAGUAUGGGAGGGGCCAGGGGGUCGUGAUUGGAACAGGGGAAAGCUCUCAGUUCGGAGAAGUGUUUAAGAUGAUGCAGGCUGAAGAGACACCUAAAACUCCUUUGCAGAAAAGCAUGGACAGGCUAGGAAAGCAACUGACACUCUUCUCCUUUGGCAUAAUCGGUCUCAUCAUGCUCAUUGGCUGGUUGCAAGGGAAACAACUCCUGAGUAUGUUCACGAUUGGGGUCAGGUAAGAGGGCUAUGGCCGCCCCUUGCCUUGCCAGGGUGGUCAAUGGGCUCUGAGCCCUUCCCUGCCGCAAGAGAAGGUGGGGAGGCUGCAGAAUAGGAAGGGUUGGGAAGGUGCAGCCCCGUCACCCAAACUCCAGCCUCCCAAUAGCACAUUCUCUGACAGGUACAGAGUGCCCAGUGAAUGCUUGCAAAAUGAAUGACAGCAAAUGAUCCAGGGGGUCCCUUUUGUAUUAGGCUGUUCUUGCAUUGCU
rnacentral:sRNA from 1 species